GCUUCAUUUAUUGACUUUCAGCUGUCAUCAUAAUUCAUUUGCUCUAGUGUUGUAAUUUAGUGUACAUGUUCAUAAAAUCACAGCCUGCCGAAUUGUUGUCAUUGAAUUGAGGAAGAAAGAGUGAGGUAUGGCAGAAAUUGCAGUUAAGUUCUCUGUAGAAACCUUGAGUUACUUGCUUGUAGAAGAGAUCGAAUUGCUCGGAAGAGCAGAACCAGAAGUUAGAGACGUGAAAAGGGAGUUGGAGAGCAUCAGAGCUUUCCUCAAGGAUGCGGACGCAAGAGCAGCAGCUGAAGAAGAAGGAGAAAGCAGUGAAGGUGAGUUAAUUUGGGCAAAACAAGUGAGGGCCGAAGCUUUUCGCAUUGAAGAUGUUAUUGAUGAGUUCUCUUUCGCUGUGGCAAAAUUUAAUCAUGGCAGUGGCCCUCUUGCUGUUGUUCGUAAAGUCAAUCGUUUCCUCAGGGAACAGAAGCUGCGGCGUCGAAUCGUCAAGGAGAUCCAGGAUAUCAAAUCAUCGCUUGCUCAGAUUAAACGAAGGGCAGAAAGUUAUCAGCAGUUGAGGCCCAUGGGUCAAGGAUCAAGCAGUGAAACAACUUAUGGUCAGCAUGACUCCCGAGUUGGUUCCCGAUUUAUCAAAGACAAUCAUGUUGUGGGCUUUGAUUCAAGAAGAAAGACACUGAUCGAUCUCUUGGUUAAAGGAACACUAGAACGCUCGGUGAUCGCGGUGGUGGGUGAAGGAGGACUAGGCAAGACCACUCUAGCUGGAAGAGUUUAUCACCACCACACAGUGGAAAACCACUUUGAAGAUAACCAGGUAUGGAUCACCGUUGGGAAAGAAUCCAGCAAGAUAAAUCUGCUGAGGUCAAUAAUACUGAAAUUUUCUUGUCCAACAACAAGAAAAAUAAAAGAAAUGGAGGAAGAUGACCUGAUUAGAACGUUAAGAAAACACUUGGAGAACAAGCGUUACAUGGUUAUGUUUGAUGAUGUGUGGCCAAUUUCAUUUUGGCAGUAUGUAGAGCAAGCUCUUCCUGAUGACAAUACAGGGAGCCGGAUAAUGAUCACCACGCGGGACAUGAGGAUAACUACAGGAAUACGAGUCCUAACUAUCCACCAGCUUGAACCUCUGCCUUUACCAAAGGCAAUGGAACUUCUUUGCAGAGAGACAUUUCGUGGUGAUGGGCGUUGUCCUCCAAGGUUGGAGAAACUAUCUGAAAGCAUUGUUGAAAAAUUUGCAAGACUACCACUAGCAAUUGUUGCUGUUGGUGGUAUUCUGUCAACCAAAGAAAAGACAGAGUAUGAAUGGAAAAAGUUUCUAGAUGGCCUGGGCUCGAAAUUAGGAAGCGAUCCCUUUCUGAAUAUCCGUUGUACUAAAAUUUUAUCAUACAGUUAUUAUGAUCUUCCAAUCCGCCUCAAAUUUUGUCUUCUGUACUUCGGCUUGUUUCCAUACAACUACUCAAUUUCAUGUGGAAGACUAAUGCGCCUGUGGAUACCCGAGGGUUUUGUCCAAUACGUCGACAACCAAACACUUGAGGAAGUUGCAGAAGAUUAUCUGAUUGAGCUAAUUGACAGAAACUUGGUUCAGGUUGUGGAUAGAGAUAUUUCUGGAAGAAUCAGAAGCUGCAAAGUCCAUGCUCUAAUGUAUGAGAUCAUCCUCCAAAAGUCGAAAGGACUGGAUUUUUGUCAGGUCCUGAGAGAAGAGCAUUCAAGUCUUCACAGUAGUACAACGCGGCGCAUUUCAAUAAACGGAAGUGCUGACGGCGUUACAGAGACUAUAAAGGGCUCAAAGAUCCGUGCUGUUUUACUUUUUGAUAGUCUUCCGAAUGGAUACUUGACUACAUUUGUUAGGGAUUUCAAGCUUUUGAAGGCACUCGAUUUUAAGAAUUCUUUUGUCAAUAAUCUUCCUGAAGCAGUGGGAAACCUGUUCCAUUUACAUUACUUAAAUCUACGUUGUACAACAGUAAAAAAACUUCCCAAGUCCAUAGGUAAGCUUGUCAACUUGGAGACUUUGGAUUUGAAGCUAUCUGGCGUGGAAGAGCUUCCAACUGAGAUCAAACACCUGAAAAAAUUGCGAUAUCUAAGGGCAUCCUACGCGCAACUUUUGACUGUUGAUGUCAUUAGAUAUGAAGGAGUUACGAUACAGAAGGGUUUUGGGAGUUUGAGGGACCUGCGGAAGCUAUAUUUUGUGCAAGCAGAUACUCAAGUACUACAAGAGCUCAAGAUGCUAGUGAAAUUGAGAAAAUUGGGUAUUACUUUAACAAAUGGAAGUGGGAAGAAUCUAAGUGAUCUCAUCGAGAAUAUGGAGAAUCUUGAAUCUCUAAUUGUAGAUUCAGCAAGUAGAGAAGAGAUUAUUGACAUAGAAUGCAUGUCUUCUCCUCCUCGAUAUCUUCAACGCCUCUGCUUAAAGGGGACUAUGGAGAAAAUGCCAAUCUGGAUUCACGAGCUUGAAGGUCUAAACAGAAUAGAUUUGGAUUUAUCAGGAUUGAGUGAAGAUCCCAUCAGCAUCCUUCACUCUCUGCCUAAUUUGUUGGAGCUUAGGCUCAAAGACACAUACCACUAUGAUCACCUGCAAUUCAAAGAUGGUUGGUUCCAGAAACUCCAACAGUUGAGUCUCUUUAACUUUGGAGGUCUGGAAGUGGUGACAAUUGACAAAGGUGCAAUGCCUGAUCUCAGACAUCUGGAGAUUGGCCCAGACCCACUUUUGAAGAUAACGGGACUUGAGCAUCUAGAAAAGCUGGAGGGUUCUAUUUCUAGCCGCGACUUCAGGUCAACUGUGAAAGAGUAUUAUUUAGAAAAAGUAGUCAUCAAGUUGCACUUUGACUGUGCCAAUGAGGGAAGGACAUUAUCCGAGACUAUUGUCCAUUCAAUUAAUGGUGUUAUGAGGGCAGCACUUCUAGGUGGCGAUGGAAAUAUACUGGAGGUAGUUGGAUAUCGUUUGGAUGCUACUAAGUUGCUGAAACGCAUACGGAAGAAGCAUGGCUUCGCCGAAAUAGUGUCUUUUGGAAUGGUUAGUGGAAAGGAAUGUUGAGCUAAUGCAGAAGAUAGCAUAACCGUAGAGCAUCAGCAACAACAUGAGUAAGGACACGAUACUUCUCUACACUAAAUCGGGACAUAACAAUUUACUUAUUGGCAGUCCAGUAAACAAGGUUGCGACCAAGAAAAGUCAAAUGCUAGUGAUAGGUCUUCUUCCUCGAAUUGGUGGUGGGAAACAAUUUCAAUCUGAUUCUUGAAAAGACUUCAAGAUCAGGCACUGAAAGGAUUCUAAUCGUAAAAUAGUUCAAGCGGAAAGCUUAGAAACCAAAUGAAACUUGGUGUGAGUGUUUCAGAUCUCGAAGAAAGCUGUAAUAUGGGCUUUUGUGAUAAAUUAAUUAGGCAAAUAGUGAGUGGGUUUGUUCAUUCUUAAUUUCUGCUUGUAAUAGACUUUGCUUAAAUUUCUUAGUGGAUUGAUAAGGUCUUAUUGUUAA